rnacentral:rRNA from 1 species
UACAGAGGGGGGCAAGCGUUAUUCGGAAUUAUUGGGCGUAAAGGGCGCGUAGGCGGCCAUUCAAGUGACGGGUGAAAGCCCUCGGCUUAACCGAGGAACUGCCUGUCAGACUGGAUGGCUUGAGACCGGGAGAGGUGAGUGGAAUUCCCAGUGUAGCGGUGAAAUGCGUAGAUAUUGGGAGGAACACCAGUGGCGAAGGCGGCUCACUGGACCGGAACUGACGCUAAGGCGCGAAAGCGUGGGGAGCAAACAGG